GAACACCGGUAGGAUUGACAGAUCGAUAGCUCUUUCUCGAUUCGGUGGGUGGUGGUGCAUGGCCGUUCUUAGUUGGCGGAGCGAUCCGUCUGGUUGAUUCCGAUAACGAACGAGACUCCGGCCUGCUAACUAGUGCGCCGAUGUGUGUGUUUAUUCAACGGCGGGCUCGGCGUUCAUCGCAGCGCCCGGGUCCGGGUCGGUUUUCUCACGCACUUCUUAGAGGGACAGGUGGCAGAAAGCCACACGAGGCGAAGCGAUAACAGGUCUGUGAUGCCCUUAGAUGUCCGGGGCCGCACGCGCGCUACACUGGAGGUAUCAGCGGAGACUUCGCCCCUGCCCGAGAGGGUCGGGAAACCUCUUAACCACCUCCCGUGAUAGGGAUCGGGGCCUGUAACCAACCCCGUGAACGAGGAAUUCUCGGUAGGCGCGGGUCAACAUCCCGCGUCGAUCACGUCCCUGCCCUUUGUACACACCGCCCGUCGCUACUACCGAUCUUUUCUUUUCUUUUUGCUGUUUACAGAAGACAUUUGGGUUUUGGAUCGAAAGGUGAAAAUGAGACAAGAGUUCAGAAUUUCA